UACGGGGGGGGCAAGCGUUGUUCGGAUUUACUGGGCGUAAAGGGCGCGUAGGCGGCGCGACAAGUCACUUGUGAAAUCUCCGGGCUUAACCCGGAGCGGCCAAGUGAUACUGUCGUGCUGGAGUGCGGAAGGGGCCACCGGAAUUCUCGGUGUAGCGGUGAAAUGCGUAGAUAUCGAGAGGAACACCUGCGGCGAAGGCGGGUGGCUGGGCCGACACUGACGCUGAGGUGCGAGAGCGUGGGGAGCGAACCGG
rnacentral:rRNA from 1 species